rnacentral:rRNA from 1 species
GACGAACGCUGGCGGCGUGCUUAACACAUGCAAGUCGAACGGAAAGGCCUGCUUUCCCUUGUGGAUUGCGGGUACUCGAGUGGCGAACGGGUGAGUAACACGUGAGUGAUCUGCCCCCAACUUGGGUAUAAGCCUGGGAAACUGGGUCUAAUUCCCGAUAGGACUGCAGGGUGGUGCCUGUGGUGGAACACGAUUUUCUAGUGGUUGGGGAUGAGCUCGCGGCCUAUCAGCUUGUUGGUGGGGUAAUGGCCUACCAAGGCGGCGACGGGUAGCCGGCCUGAGAGGGUGGACGGCCACAUUGGGACUGGGAUACGGCCCAGACUCCUACGGGAGGCAGCAGUGGGGAAUAUUGCACAGUGGGCGGAAGCCUGAUGCAGCGACGCCGCGUGGGGGAUGACGGCCUUCGGGUUGUAAACUCCUUUCGACCGCGAGGAAGCCACCUGGUUGGAAGGGUGGUGACGGUAGUGGUAGAAGAAGCACCGGCUAACUACGUG